AACGAACGCUGGCGGCAUGCCUAACACAUGCAAGUCGAACGAGAUCUUCGGGUCUAGUGGCGCACGGGUGCGUAACGCGUGGGAAUCUGCGCUUUGGUUCGGAAUAACAGUUGGAAACGACUGCUAAUACCGGAUGAUGACGAAAGUCCAAAGAUUUAUCGCCGGAGGAUGAGCCGGAGUAGGAUUAGCUAGUUGGUGUGGUAAAGGCGCACCAAGGCGACGAUCCUUAGCUGGUCUGAGAGGAUGAUCAGCCACACUGGGACUGAGACACGGCCCAGACUCCUACGGGAGGCAGCAGUGGGGAAUAUUGGACAAUGGGCGAAAGCCUGAUCCAGCAAUGCCGCGUGAGUGAUGAAGGCCUUAGGGUUGUAAAGCUCUUUUACCCGGGAUGAUAAUGACAGUACCGGGAGAAUAAGCUCCGGCUAACUCCGUGCCAGCCGCCGCCGUAAGAC
rnacentral:rRNA from 1 species